ACGGGAGGCAGCAGUGGGGAAUCUUCCGCAAUGGGCGAAAGCCUGACCCAGCAACGCCGCGUGAAGGAAGAAGGUCUUCGGAUUGUAAACUUCUUUUAUGUGGGACGAAGAAAGUGACGGUACCACAUGAAUAAGCCACGGCUAACUACGUGCCAGCAGCCGCGGUAAUACGUAGGUGGCAAGCGUUAUCCGGAUUUACUGGGUGUAAAGGGCGCGUAGGCGGGAUGGCAGGUCAGAUGUGAAAUCUAUGGGCUCAACCCAUAAACUGCAUUUGAAACUGUCAUUCUUGAGUGCUGGAGAGGUAGACGGAAUUCCUUGUGUAGCGGUGAAAUGCGUAGAUAUAAGGAAGAACACCAGUGGCGAAGGCGGUCUACUGGACAGUAACUGACGCUGAGGCACGAAAGCGUGGGGAGCAAACAGGAUUAGAUACCCUGGUA
rnacentral:rRNA from 1 species